rnacentral:misc_RNA from 1 species
GUAGGUGAGCCUGCGGAAGGAUCAUUAAUAGUGCUCUUUGAUGCAAAUCAUUGAGUUAGAUCUGCUCUCCUCGCAAGAGGAGGGUUUCCAUACACACCGUGAACUGUGGCUUCGGCCAUCACAAACUGUUAGUAAUGAAUGUAAUAUCAUAACAAAAACAAAACUUUUAACAACGGAUCUCUUGGCUCUC